UACAGAGGGGGCAAGCGUUGUUCGGAAUUACUGGGCGUAAAGGGCGCGUAGGCGGACAGUUUAGUCAGAGGUGAAAGCCCAGGGCUCAACCUUGGAAUUGCCUUUGAUACUGACUGUCUUGGGUUCGGGAGAGGUGAGUGGAAUGCCGAGUGUAGAGGUGAAAUUCGUAGAUAUUCGGCGGAACACCAGUGGCGAAGGCGACUCACUGGCCCGAUACUGACGCUGAGGCGCGAAAGCGUGGGGAGCAAACAGG
rnacentral:rRNA from 1 species